GACGAACGCUGGCGGCGUGCUUAACACAUGCAAGUCGAACGGAAAGGCCCUGCUUUUGUGGGGUGCUCGAGUGGCGAACGGGUGAGUAACACGUGAGUAACCUGCCCUUGACUUUGGGAUAACUUCAGGAAACUGGGGCUAAUACCGGAUAGGAGCUCCUGCUGCAUGGUGGGGGUUGGAAAGUUUCGGCGGUUGGGGAUGGACUCGCGGCUUAUCAGCUUGUUGGUGGGGUAGUGGCUUACCAAGGGUUUGACGGGUAGCCGGCCUGGGAGGGUGACCGGCCACCUUGGGACUGCGAUACGGCCCAGACUCCUACGGGAGGGAGCAGUGGGGAAUAUUGCACAAUGGGCGGAAGCCUGAUGCAGCAACGCCGCGUGCGGGAUGACGGCCUUCGGGUUGUAAACCGCUUUCGCCUGUGACGAAGCGUGAGUGACGGUAAUGGGUAAAGAAGCACCGGCUAACUACGUG
rnacentral:rRNA from 1 species